UCCGGUUUAACACCGGCAGUCCCCCUAGAGUCCCCGGCAUGACCCGCUGGCAACUAGGGGCAAGGGUUUCGCUCGUUACGGGACUUAACCCAACAUCUCACGACACGAGCUGACGACAGCCAUGCAGCACCUGUGGUGGGUUCCGGACUGGAUACCGUUGGCCGAACGUUUCCGCCGGCUACUUCCCACCGCUUUCGCACAUGUCAAGCCCAGGAUAAGGUUCUUCGCGUAGCCUCGAAUUAAGCCACAUGCUCCACCGCUUGUGUGAGCCCCCGUCAAUUCCUUUGAGUUUCAGCCUUGCGGCCAUACUCCCCAGGCGGGGUACUUAACACGUUGGCUGCGGCAGUGAGCCCAUGUCAAGCCCACUACCUAGUACCCAUCGUUUAGGGCCAGGACUAC
rnacentral:misc_RNA from 1 species